rnacentral:rRNA from 1 species
GACGAACGCUGGCGGCGUGCCUAAUACAUGCAAGUUGAGCGCUGAAGGUUGGUACUUGUACCAACUGGAUGAGCAGCGAACGGGUGAGUAACGCGUGGGGAAUCUGCCUUUGAGCGGGGGACAACAUUUGGAAACGAAUGCUAAUACCGCAUAAAAACUUUAAACACAAGUUUUAAGUUUGAAAGAUGCAAUUGCAUCACUCAAAGAUGAUCCCGCGUUGUAUUAGCUAGUUGGUGAGGUAAAGGCUCACCAAGGCGAUGAUACAUAGCCGACCUGAUAGGGUGAUCGGCCACAUUGGGACUGAGACACGGCCCAAACGCCUACGGGAGGCAGCAGUAGGGAAUCUUCGGCAAUGGACGAAAGUCUGACCGAGCAACGCCGCGUGAGUGAAGAAGGUUUUCGGAUCGUAAAACUCUGUUGGUAGAGAAGAACGUUGGUGAGAGUGGAAAGCUCAUCAAGUGACGGUAACUACCCAGAAAGGGACGGCUAACUACGUG